rnacentral:rRNA from 1 species
CCUACGGGAGGCAGCAGUGGGGAAUAUUGGACAAUGGGCGAAAGCCUGAUCCAGCAAUGCCGCGUGAGUGAUGAAGGCCUUAGGGUUGUAAAGCUCUUUUACCAGGGAUGAUAAUGACAGUACCUGGAGAAUAAGCUCCGGCUAACUCCGUGCCAGCAGCCGCGGUAAUACGGAGGGAGCUAGCGUUGUUCGGAAUUACUGGGCGUAAAGCGUGCGUAGGCGGUGACUCAAGUCAGAGGUGAAAGCCUGGAGCUCAACUCCAGAACUGCCUUUGAAACUAGGUCGCUAGAAUCACGGAGAGGUGAGUGGAAUUCCGAGUGUAGAGGUGAAAUUCGUAGAUAUUCGGAAGAACACCAGUGGCGAAGGCGGCUCACUGGACGUGUAUUGACGCUGAGGCACGAAAGCGUGGGGAGCAAACAGGAUUAGAUACCCUGGUAGUCCACGCCGUAAACGAUGAUAACUAGCUGCCAGGGCUCUUAGAGCUUUGGUGGCGCAGCUAACGCAUUAAGUUAUCCGCCUGGGGAGUACGGUCGCAAGAUUAAAACUCAAAGGAAUUGACGG